UUAGGUCUCGCUCGUUGCCUAUGCCACAAAGGAAAACUAUUUCGGCUGUGCCGCGGAAGGCUUCUCGGAGAUAUACACCAUACUCUCCGCCGGGAUCAAACAGACCGCAAUGUGAGAAAUCGCGACGGGGGGAUCCCAAGUGCCAUUCUUAACGGGAUGGCUUUUCUUAAGUGUAAAAAGCUUUUGGAAUAAGAGCUGGGCAAGACCGGUGCCAGCCGCCGCGGUAACACCGGCAGCUCUAGUGGUAGCUGUUUUUAUUGGGCCUAAAGCGUUCGUAGCCGGUUUGAUAAGUCACUGGUGAAAUCCUGUAGCUUAACUGUGGGAAUUGCUGGUGAUACUGUUGAACUUGAGGUCGGGAGAGGUUAGCGGUACUCCCAGGGUAGAGGUGAAAUUCUGUAAUCCUGGGAGGACCACCUGUGGCGAAGGCGGCUAACUGGAACGAACCUGACGGUGAGGGACGAAAGCUAGGGGCGCGAACCGGAUUAGAUACCCGGGUAGUCCUAGCCGUAAACGAUGCGGACUUGGUGUUGGGAUGGCUUUGACCGCUCCGGUGCCGAAGGGGAGCUGUUAAGUCNGCAGCCUGGGAGUACGGUCGCAAGAUGAAACUUAAAGAUUGGCGGGGAGCACACACGCGUGGAGCUGCGGUUANUGGAUCACCGCGGACUCUCACGGACGACGCUGUUGAUACAGGUGAGACCUGUUGACUCCUAAAGAGUGAUGCCCCUAACUCUCCUGGGGUCUGUAAUCGAACAGGAAACAAUGAUCCCCGCCCUGGGGCGGGCCUGA
rnacentral:rRNA from 1 species